rnacentral:rRNA from 1 species
ACGUAGGGGGCAAGCGUUGUCCGGAUUUAUUGGGCGUAAAGAGCGUGUAGGCGGUUAGGUAGGUCCGUUGUGAAAACUCGAGGCUCAACCUCGAGACGCCGAUGGAAACCAUCUGACUGGAGUCCGGAAGAGGAGAGUGGAAUUCCUGGUGUAGCGGUGAAAUGCGCAGAUAUCAGGGAGAACACCCGUGGCUAAGGCGGCUCUCUAGUACGUGACUGACGCUGAGACGCGAAAGCGUGGGGAGCGAACAGGA